rnacentral:rRNA from 1 species
UACGUAGGGUCCGAGCGUUAAUCGGAAUUACUGGGCGUAAAGCGUGCGCAGGCGGUUUUGUAAGCCAGAUGUGAAAGCCCCGGGCUCAACCUGGGAACUGCAUUUGGGACUGCAAGGCUGGAGUACGGCAGAGGGAGGUGGAAUUCCACGUGUAGCAGUGAAAUGCGUAGAGAUGUGGAGGAACACCGAUGGCGAAGGCAGCCCCCUGGGUCAAGAUUGACGCUCAUGCACGAAAGCGUGGGGAGCAAACAGG